AAUUAGGAAAUAUUGAUCGUGGGAGAUUUGAGGGGGAAAAGUGCAGCAACCUAUGAAUUUUAGGAAACUGCUAUUCCCAGGGCUUGGGCCUGGAAUCUUAGGAAAACAAAAUGCUUUGCAGAAAAAAUUCUGAAAGACUUUCAUCAGAGAUCUAAAGCACCAAAUCGGCUAAUCACUCCCGUUAAGGAGGAGAGAGGGGAAAGAGUCCCAUCUUGGAGUCUUUUUAUGAUCACACUAGACUGCAGUAGACUGUUGGGAGCCAGCUUGAAUAUAUCUCUAUCUCUAUCUGUCUAUAAUGUUUAUUCCCCACCCUUCCUCUGAGGAGAUCCAGUACAAUAUUCAUACAGUUCAUAGGCAGUCUCCCAUCCAGGCAGAACAGCUUAGCUUCAGCAGCAGAACUGCCUUGUGUGUCACCAAACUAUACUCUGCUCUUUUCCUCUCAAUGCCCCAUAACCAGAUCCCCAAAUGCCCCAUCCUCACCCAACUAUAUUAGGACAUUAAAAGGUGUUGCCUUUAAUAGAGUAAUGGAAAUGGAGGCAAAUUAUUUCAUCUCACAGGAGGAAAUUAUACAAUUCCAAAAAACAAACAAACGU